rnacentral:rRNA from 1 species
GAGCGGCGGAUGGGUGAGUAACACGUGGGGAACCUGCCCCAUAGUCUGGGAUACCACUUGGAAACAGGUGCUAAUACCGGAUAAGAAAGCAGAUCGCAUGAUCAGCUUAUAAAAGGCGGCGUAAGCUGUCGCUAUGGGAUGGCCCCGCGGUGCAUUAGCUAGUUGGUAAGGUAACGGCUUACCAAGGCAAUGAUGCAUAGCCGAGUUGAGAGACUGAUCGGCCACAUUGGGACUGAGACACGGCCCAAACUCCUACGGGAGGCAGCAGUAGGGAAUCUUCCACAAUGGACGCAAGUCUGAUGGAGCAACGCCGCGUGAGUGAAGAAGGUUUUCGGAUCGUAAAGCUCUGUUGUUGGUGAAGAAGGAUAGAGGUAGUAACUGGCCUUUAUUUGACGGUAAUCAACCAGAAAGUCACGGCUAACUACGUGCCAGCAGCCGCGGUAAUACGUAGGUGGCAAGCGUUGUCCGGAUUUAUUGGGCGUAAAGCGAGCGCAGGCGGAAGAAUAAGUCUGAUGUGAAAGCCCUCGGCUUAACCGAGGAACUGCAUCGGAAACUGUUUUUCUUGAGUGCAGAAGAGGAGAGUGGAAUUCCAUGUGUAGCGGUGGAAUGCGUAGAUAUAUGGAAGAACAACAGUGGCGAAGGCGACUCUCUGGUCUGCAACUGACGCUGAGGCUCGAAAGCAUGGGUAGCGAACAGGAUUAGAUACCCUGGUAGUCCAUGCCGUAAACGAUGAGUGCUAAGUGGUGGGAGGUUUCCGCCUCUCAGUGCUGCAGCUAACGCAUUAAGCACUCCGCCUGGGGAGUACGACCGCAAGGUUGAAACUCAAAGGAAUUGACGGGGGCCCGCACAAGCGGUGGAGCAUGUGGUUUAAUUCGAAGCAACGCGAAGAACCUUACCAGGUCUU